rnacentral:rRNA from 1 species
GACGAACGCUGGCGGCGUGCUUAACACAUGCAAGUCGAACGGAAAGGCCCUGCUUUUGUGGGGUGCUCGAGUGGCGAACGGGUGAGUAACACGUGAGUAACCUGCCCUUGACUUUGGGAUAACUUCAGGAAACUGGGGCUAAUACCGGAUAGGAGCUCCUGCUGCAUGGUGGGGGUUGGAAAGUUUCGGCGGUUGGGGAUGGACUCGCGCCUUAUCAGCUUGUUGGUGGGGUAGUGGCUUACCAAGGCUUUGACAGGUAGCCGGCCUGGGCGGGUGACAGGCCACAUUGGGACUGAGCUACGGCCCAGCCUCCUCCGGGAGGCAGGAGUGGAGAAUAGUGCACAAGGGGCGGAAGCCUGAUGCAGCAACGCCGCGUGCGGGAUGACGGCCUUCGGGUUGUAAAGCGCAUUCGCCUGUGACGAAGCGUGAGUGACGGUAAUGGGUAAAGAAGCACCGGCUAACUACGUG